GGGCCCGCACAAGCGGUGGAGCAUGUGGUUUAAUUCGAUGAUACGCGAGGAACCUUACCAGGGCUUAAAUGUAAGUUGCAUUAGCUAGAGAUAGCUAUUUCUUCGGACCACUUACAAGGUGCUGCAUGGUUGUCGUCAGCUCGUGCCGUGAGGUGUCAGGUUAAGUCCUAUAACGAGCGCAACCCCCUGUUGUUAGUUGCCAGCGAGUAAUGUCGGGAACUCUAACAAGACCGCCGGUGAUAAACCGGAGGAAGGUGUGGAUGACGUCAAGUCAUCAUGCCCCUUACAUCUGGGCUACACACGUACUACAAUGCUACGGACAAAGGGCAGCAAACUCGCGAGAGCUAGCAAAUCCCAUAAACGUGGCUC
rnacentral:rRNA from 1 species